AUGGAGACAGAGACACUCCUGCUAUGGGUGCUGCUGUUCUGGGUUCCAGACACCAAUGGUGACAUUGUGCUGACCCAAUCUCCAGUAUCUUUGACUGUGUCUUUAGGGGAGAGGGUCACUAUCUCCUGCAAGGCCAGCCAGAGUAUUGAUUAUUACGGUGACAAUUAUAUGCACUGGUUCCAACAGAAGCCAGGACAGCCACCAAAACUCCUUAUCUAUGAUGCAUCCAACCUAGAAUCUGGAGUUCCUGACAGGUUCAGUGGCAGUGGGUCUGGGACAGACUUCACCCUCAACAUCAAUCCUAUUGAGGAUGAUGACACUGCAACCUAUUACUGUCAGCAAAGUAAAGAGUUUCCUCCCACAGUGCUCCAGGGCUGA